CCAGAGACGCGCCUGACUGAUGACAGGGGAAGGGACAGAGCCUACCAGCAUGCUACUUGAAGGACAAGGACAGAGUGAAGCAAAACAGAACACAGGUUGCCCGGGGCUAGAGGUGAACCUUUGGAGGAGCGUGAGGAGACCUUCUGGAGUAACACAGCCCAGCCCAUGAAAUUGUGUGAUGGAUCUUCCCAUCUCAAUCAACCAUCAAGACAACCCAAACAGACGUGUACACAGGUCAAUCUGAUCAAGGUAAUGUCAC